UGAAUACGAGACGCUAAGGCGUCGAAGUAGUGUAUGUCAUACUUCCAAGAAAAGCUUGCACUGCCAUAGAUAAAAAACGCCUGUACCAUAACCGACACAGGUGGGUAGGUAGAGUAUACUAAGGGGCGCGAGAUAACUCUCUCUAAGGAACUCGGCAAAAUAACUCCGUAACUUCGGGAGAAGGAGUGCCUUAUUCGUAAGGUUGCAAUAACAAGAUCCAAGCAACUGUUUAUCAAAAACACAGGUCUCCGCUAAGUCGUAAGACGAUGUAUGGGGGCUGACGCCUGCCCAGUGCCAGAAGGUUAAAGAAGUUGGUUAGCAAUUGCGAAGCUGAUAACUGAAGCCCUGGUGAACGGCGGCCGUAACAAUAACGGUCCUAAGGUAGCGAAAUUCCUUGUCGGGUAAGUUCCGACCCGCACGAAAGGCGUAAUGAUUUGGAUACUGUCUCGGAGAGGGGCUCGGUGAAAUAGACUUGUCUGUGAAGAUGCGGACUACCUGCACCAGGACAGAAAGACCCUAUGAAGCUUUACUGUAACUUGAAAUUGAAAUUGGACUUUAUUCGCGCAGUAUAGGUGGGAGGCGUUGAUUAUAAUCUUGUGGGAUUAUUGGAGCCAUCAGUGAGAUACCACUCUUGUAAUGUUAGAUUUCUAACUUUGAAUCAUUAUCUGGUCAAAGAACAGUUUCAGGCGGGCAGUUUGACUGGGGCGGUCGCCUCCUAAACGGUAACGGAGGCGUACAAAGGUUUCCUCUGAACGGUUAGAAAUCGUAUCUAGAGUGUAAAGGCAUAAGGAAGCUUGACUGUGAGACCUACAAGUCGAGCAGGGACGAAAGUCGGUCUUAGUGAUCUGACGGUACUGAGUGGAAAGGCCGUCACUCAACGGAUAAAAGUUACUCUAGGAUAACAGGCUGAUCUCCCCCAAGAGUUCACAUCGACGGGGAGGUUUGGCACCUCGAUGUCGGCUCAUCGCAUCCUGGGGCGGUAGUACGUCCCAAGGGUUGGGCUGUUCGCCCAUGAAAGCGGUACGCGAGCUGGGUUCAGAACGUCGUGAGACAGUUCGGUCCAUAUCCGGUGUAGGCGUUAGAAUAUUGAGAGGGGCCUUCUUUAGUACGAGAGGACCGAGAAGGACAUACCUCUGGUGUACCAGUUAUCGUGCCAACGGUAAACGCUGGGUAGCUAUGUAUGGAGUGGAUAACCGCUGAAAGCAUCUAAGUGGGAAGCCCACCUCAAGAUAAGUA
rnacentral:rRNA from 1 species